rnacentral:rRNA from 1 species
AUUGAACGCUGGCGGCAGGCCUAACACAUGCAAGUCGAGCGGAUGAAGGGAGCUUGCUCCUGGAUUCAGCGGCGGACGGGUGAGUAAUGCCUAGGAAUCUGCCUGGUAGUGGGGGAUAACGUCCGGAAACGGGCGCUAAUACCGCAUACGUCCUGAGGGAGAAAGUGGGGGAUCUUCAGACCUCACGCUAUCAGAUGGGCCUAGGUCGGAUUAGCUAGUUGGUGGGGUAAAGGCCUACCAAGGCGACGAUCCGUAACUGGUCUGAGAGGAUGAUCAGUCACACUGGAACUGAGACACGUUCCAGACUCCUACGGGAGGCAGCAGUGGGGAAUAUUGGACAAUGGGCGAAAGCCUAAUCCAGCAAUGCCGCGUGUGUGAAGAAGGUCUUCGGAUUGUAAAGCACUUUAAGUUGGGAGGAAGGGCAGUAAGUUAAUACCUUGCUGUUUUGACGUUACCAACAGAAUAAGCACCGGCUAACUUCGUG